rnacentral:rRNA from 1 species
UGCUCCUACGGGACGCAGCAGUGGGGGAUAUUGCACAAUGGGGGAAACCCUGAUGCAGCGACGCCGCGUGGGUGAAGAAGCGCCUCGGCGCGUAAAGCCCUGUCAGCAGGGAAGAAAAUGACGGUACCUGAAGAAGAAGCCCCGGCUAACUACGUGCCAGCAGCCGCGGUAAUACGUAGGUGGCAAGCGUUGUCCGGAUUUACUGGGUGUAAAGGGCGUGCAGCCGGAGAGACAAGUCAGAUGUGAAAUCCACGGGCUCAACCCGUGAACUGCAUUUGAAACUGUUUCCCUUGAGUGUCGGAGAG